ensembl:lncRNA
GAUUGGCCUGCUAGAGUUGUAAUGCGUUUGUAGCCUACAUGUGUGACUUAUAUAUAACAUUUGCUAACAUGAGUACACAUUGCAUACAAUGGUGUAAGUUUCCUUUUUUACCUUUAUAAACUCAACUUGCGUCUGUAAAUAUCUGUAUUCGUUGUACUAUUAUUAUUUCCGUAGCCUAGGCUACACUAAUGGUCACGUUCCAAGUCCUAUGCCUGUAAAGUGAUUUGAACGCCAAUCGGCUGCACUCCGGUACUGUACCUGCACCACGAUUUGGGAAAGAACCAUAAACCAACCAUUGAAUUAAAUUGUAAUGACGGUGCUAGUCACAUAUGUACUAACAUCAUAGAUUGUAGAUGGACUGGCUUCUUGAAAGACGUUGUAUUUGAUUGCCCGCUUGAUAAUGACAAGUUUCAAUGUUCAGUGGAGACGGAUGAAGUAAAGAAAAACAAGGAAGAACAACAAACAGUACCAGUGGCACCGAUAUGCAAAGACAAUAGAAGCUGUGGAUUCCCUACAACAUUUGUAGGUGAAAGUGUAAGAUGCACCAUACGUAUGCGUAAGUAAAGGGGGCUUCCGACUGGCUCCUGAGUGGCUCAGCGGUCUAAGGCACUGCAUCUCAGUGCUAGAGGUGUCACUACAAACACCCUGGUUUGAAUCCAGGCUGUAUCACAACCGGCCAUGAUUGGGAGUCACAUAGGGUGGCGCACAAUUGGCCCAGCGUCGUCUGGGUUUGGCCGGUGUAGGCCGUCAUUUUAAAUAAAAAUGUGUUCUUAACUGACUUGCCUAGUUAAAUAAAGGUUAAAUAAAAAUAAAAUAAAUAAAGUAUAUAGCUUGUCAUUUGGACUCAUAUAAAUGUUUUAUAAUGCAUACUAUAUGCCUUGUUUGACCUAUUAUACCAUAUUAAUUUGAAUGACAACAAGGAUAUCCAUAUCCUAAACUAGUAGUUGGUAUAAUUGAACAAAACCAAUUUGAGCAAUGAAUUACAUCAUUACAUCAAUGUGCAUGUUUCAGUGCUGAUUUUUAUUUAGAAAUAGUGUUUUUGACAUAUUUUCAACAGAAAUACAGCCACCAAUAACAUCAAGAGGACCAGAAAAGAUGGAAGAUGGAAAAGAUUUGGGAAAGAACCAUGAACCAACCAUUGAAUUAAAUUGUAAUGACGGUGCAAUUCACAUAUGUACUAACAUCAUAGAUUGUAGAUGGACUGGCUUCUUGAAAGACGUUGUAUUUGAUUGCCCGCUUGAUAAUGACAAGUUUCAAUGUUCAGUGGAGACGGAUGAAGUAAAGAAAAACAAGGAAGAACAACAAACAGUACCAGUGGCACCGAUAUGCAAAGACAAUAGAAGCUGUGGAUUCCCUACAACAUUUGUAGGUGAAAGUGUAAGAUGCACCAUACGUAUGCAAACACAACUACCAACAACAUCAAGAAAACCAGACAAUCUGAAGAAUAAAACAGAGCCAAAACACAAUAUACCCUGGUGGAUUUGGUUAAUAACUUUCCUUUGGCCUUUUGCCUUUGACAUUAGCGUUGGCAUUGAUGUUGGGAUUUGGAUUAAUCAAUGUCAGGAGAAAAAGGAUUAAUUUGAGACACGUGAUGAGGCGCAUAGAAGUGGAUGGAAUGAUAUAAAAAACAAAUGAGGAGGUAUUAUUGCAGGGGUUAACCUAUGGGUCCACUAGUAUGAGCCAUCAUCACCAUUUAGCCAGCAGGCUAUUUUAAUACUAAUCUCAUUGGGGUAAAUUAAUCAAAUGUUUUAAAAGAUAUAUAAAAUCUGCAUGGAUUAGUGUUUGCCAUCAUGUGUGACGCAGUGAUAAAACACCUGAAAGAAUGCCUACAUUAACAUACAGUACCAGUCAAAAGUUUGGAGACACCUACUCAUUCCAGGGUUUUUCUUAAUCUUUUACUAUCUUCUACAUUGUAGAGUAAUAGUAAAGAAGACAUCAAAACUUUGAAAUAACACAUAUUGAAUCAUGUAGUAAGCAAAAAAAGUGUUAAACAAAUCCAAAUAUAUUUUAGAUUUGAAAUUCUUCAAAGUAGCCACCCUUUGCCUUGAUGACAGCUUGGCACACUCUUGGCAUUCUCUCAACCAGCUUAAUGAGGAAUGCUUGAAGAAGUUCCCACAUAUGCUGAGCAGUUGUUGGCUGCUUUUCCUCCACUCUGCGGUCCCAAACAAUCUCAAUUGGGUUGAGUUCGGGUGAUUGUGGAGGACAGGUCAUCUGAUGCAGCACUCCAUCACUCUCCUUGGUCAAAUAGACCUUACACAGCUUGGAGGUGUGUUUUGGGUCAUUGUCCUGUUGAAAACAAAUGAUAGUCCCACUAACCUUACAGUGAAAUGCUUACUUACAGGCCUCUAACCAACAAUGCAGUUUAAAAAAUAUGAAUAAGAAUAAGAAAUAAAAGUAACAAGUAGUUAAAGAGCAGCAGAAAAAUAACAAUAGUGAGACUAUAUACAGGGGGUACCGGUACAGAGUCAAUGUGCGGGGGCACUGGUUAGUUGAGGUAAUAUGUACAUGUAGGUUAUUAAAGUUAUUAAAGUGACUAUGCAUAGAUAAUAACAUAGUAGCAACGGCAUAAUAGAGGGGAGGGGGGGGGCAAUGCAAAUAGUCUGGGUAGCCAUUUUAUUAGAUGUUCAGGAGUGUAAUGGUUUGGGGAUAGAAGCUGUUUAGAAGCCUCUUGGACCUAGACUUGGCACUCCGGUACCGCUUGCUGUGCGGUAGCAGGGGGGGCUGGAGUCUUUUUGGGGGGCUGGAGUCUUUAACAAUUUUAGGGCCUUCCUCUGACACUGCCUGGUAUAGAAGUCCUGGAUGGCAGGAAGCUUGGCCCCAGUGAUGUACUGGGCCAUACGCACUACCCUCUGUAAUGCCUUGCGGUCGGAGGCCGAGCAGUUGCCAUACCAGGCAAUGGUGCAACCAGUCAGGAUGCUGUUGAUGGUGCAGCUGUAAAACCUUUUGAGAAUCUGAGAACCCAUGCCAAAUCUUUUCAGUCUCCUGAGGGGGAAUAGGUUUUGUUGUGCCCUCUUCACGACUGUCUUGGUGUGCUUGGACCAUGUUAGUUUGUUGGUGAUGUGGACGCCAAGGAACUUGAAGCUCUCAACCUGCAGCUCCGUCAAUGAGAAUGGGGUCCGGUCCUCCUUUUCCUGUAGUCCACAAUCAUCUCCUUUGACUUGAUCACAUUGAGGGGGAGGUUAUUGUCCUGGCUCCACAUGAAGCUGGUUGAGCUGUCAUCAAGGCAAAGGGUGGCUACUUUGAAGAAUGUCAAAUAUAAAAUAUAUUUUGAUUUGUUUGACACUUUUGGUUACUACAUGAUUCCAUAUGUGUUAGUUACUUCAUAGUUUUGAUGUCUUCACUAUUAUCUACAAUGUAGAAAAUAGUCAAAAUUAAGAAAAACCCUGGAAUGAGUAGGUGUGUCCAAACCUUUGACUGGUACUGUACCUUAACAGAAAGUUUGAAAAUGGUUUACAGUAGUUACUACAAAUGUUAUUAUAAGGAGUAAUUAAUAUGACCGCCACAAAAUGACAUACGAUCAAAGGCUUCUCCCUCUUCUAUUGUUAGUUUAAUAAUCUGAUAAUAUGUGAAGCAUGACUCAGGUGGAACGUGGGUGGUUUCAUAACAUCCACUCACUCAAUCUACUCCCCAUGACUCAACCUUACUGUGAACUGCUGGGGCUCAAACUGGAUAUAGCUGUUUUAAUGUUUGCGACACUACUAACUACACUAACUGCAUUAAUCAUCAACUGAUAUGAGUAUUUUGACUUCAUCCUAACCCCAAUUACAAUACUUUUCAAGAUACCAAACAAAUAACAUAAUAUUUGGUUAAGAUAUGAUAAGAUGAUCAUUUUAGAAGAGAGCAAAGGACUUUUUUUGUCCAUGUCACUGGAAUGAUGGAAUGAACUUUAUUUGUCCAUACAGUGUAGUUACUGUUUUGCCUAACCCUCUCCUACCUAGGACUUAUUGUUUACUACUUUUAAAUACUAAUUGUGUUUGUGCACUUCCUCAAGAAAAUAUUUAUGUUCAAUUUUAAUUAUUGAAAUGUUUUUUUUUCUGUAAUUUAGGAUUUUAUAAUUGUGGGGAUUUCUUCUACUGUUGUUUUUGAUUUACAGUACCUACGGUGCAUUUUGUGCUUGCUUCAUUAUCCUUAUUGGGAUGCACUCAUUGCUUGAUCAUCAGCUAAAUUAUUCAAUUGUUCAUUGUAAUUCUAAUUGUCACGCCCUGGUCUUAGUAUUUUGUGUUUAUAUAUUAUUUGGUCAGGCCAGGGUGUGACAUGGGGUUAUUUUGUGUUGUGUUGUGGUAUUGGGGGUUUUAGUAGGUAUUGGGAUUGUGGCUGAGUAGGGGUGUCUAGCAUAGUCUAUGGCUGCCUGAGGUUCUCAAUCAGAGUCAGGUGAUUCUCGUUGUCUCUGAUUGGGAACCAUAUUUAGGUAGCCUGGGUUUCACUGUGUGUUUGUGGGUGAUUGUUCCUUUCUUAGUGUUUUGUAUUUCACCAGAUAGGCUGUUGUCAUUAUUUCAUUUUGUUAGAUUUGUAGUUUCUGUAUGUAUAGGUUUUCCUUCAUUAAAAUAUAUCAUGAAUCAUCA